GAUAACGCCUUAGAAUAAAGGUAAUACAGUUUGGGAUAAAGGAUGCAUGUAAAACGGAGUUGCUCAGAGUUGCUGCCUAAAGGAUAUAUAUUUUUAUUUUAAGCGUAUAUUUAAACAGCAUUAGUUUACUUUAUAUCCGCAGGCCAUCAAAGUUAACUUGCAGGUAAAACUCCAUGCAGAUGAACCUAAAGCCUGAUCAGUGUGUUAAAGAGAGAAGCCUUGCAGCAGCAUGCAUCGUCCCAGGAUGUAUUACAGUAUAUGGGUGCCCCCUAGCGUAUGAUGUUUUUUUGCUUCAAAUAAGAUUCAAUUUAGAGGAGCCAUCCGACACGGAAACUGCUUCAGUCUCUUCUCCCGCAUCGACCAAAACUAACGAGCACCAUUUUACAAACUGAUGACUUGUUUGUUUAAAUUCUGUUUUACAUGACUUGGACGGCACAGCUUUGAGAGUUGCCAAAGUUGGAUUUACUUUUUUUUUUUGCCACUUCAGGCAAUCACCAGCGGUGGUAUUAGACCAAUUGUGUCUUUAUUCUAAAAACAAAUGAGCCGUAUAUAUUCUGUCUGCAUGAUUACUUUGUCGCUUUUAUUUACAGAAGCCGUGAAAAUGGAGAGUCUGUAAAUAAAAAAACACCCCCGAAAAGGUAUCCAUUUACCGAGGAUCCAGCGUCUAAUGGAACUACUGCUGAAGUACCCUUCGGCAAAGCAGCUUAAACCCCAUCUGUCCCAGUGGAGCCGCACAGCGACCGGCAGUACAAGACUGCAGUUGUAUACCGGGCCACUUGUGAGAUGUGUCUCUUUGAGUGUGACCUACCCUCCCUUUUCUUUUUAAAAAGAGGGAGAGUGGGCAGUCCACUCGCCUCACACUUUUUUUUUCAUGUACUCAGACAGUGAAAAAGUUUUGGAGAAGACACAGGAGAGAAAGCUGUGGCAGCACUCAGUUCUGAGCCAGACACGGUUCACAUGUGGCCCCAAAGGCAGCAGACGGUGUAUUGAAUUACUGUAACUCAAGGUGUAAUGUGGUAGCAGUGUGGGAUAUGGAAGCAUUACACAAACGGAUGUAGAGGGGGCUUACUUCAGCUUUCUACUGCAGCUAUAAAGUGUUCAAAUCUUUGCUUAAUUUUCUUAAAUUCCAUCUAUAACCAUUUAUUAGUUCAAUCGGCAGCCAUACUUUCUAUAAAGAUCAUCAAUAUGUCUUUAUAAUUAGAUUUAACCAGUUGCAUCAGACUCCUAUUCUUAUGUAGACACCCUGUAUCUCUCGGAUUUGUGUUUUCAUGUGUUAAUUUGCAUUAAAGAAUGACAUGGUUUGUAUUACAAGGAGACCCCGCUGGAUCAACUCAUCAAAUGCAUGUUGGUACACCAUAUGUGCUGUGCAAAAUUGCAAUUUAUCUAUGACUAAUAAAGUUUUAAGACAUCAUAUGAGCUGUGUUUAAACUGGUUCUUAUCUAAUGUUUGCUCUUAGGUUUUUUUUUCAGUUUUCCUGUGAUAUUUUACUGUAAAUGUGUAAAUAAAGCUUUCUUUUUUUCACUGUAAUAUUGUUUCAACUAUAUGAGACAUGCUGUUAAAAAGUCUGGUUUGUAUCAAUGAGAAUGCAGCUUCCUAUUUUCUGAACCAUUCUGUACAGUCAAACCAGACUUUGACUUCACUGCUUCUGCAGGAAAUUCAGAUUAACAAAAUGCAGUGGAGAUUUAGCAGACUCCCAUGGGUACUGCAAGUUAUUGAGAGAAUAAUAAGAAUAUGACACACUACUGUAUGAUGAUAGCAUCUUUCUGCAGCACAAAUGGGCAAAAUCUGUGAAGAGUACAGCACUCAUGUUUCCUGAAAUUGAAACAUAGCUGUAGUUAACAUUAGAAUUAACAACAGUAGCAUAUUAUAUCAGGCACUUUUACCAGUUCCAAGCCCAAAGACUGCAGGCUGAGAAAUCAAUCAGGCAGCAAUGUUUCAACAUAAGAAUGCAUUUCUCUGUGAUAGCAGAUAUAAAUUGCAUCACUAUAACAAAACCAGCAGCCCGUGAAUAUUGACAAUGUUAACUACAUCUCUGUUUCCACAGGUAACUGAUUCAACGUUUGUGAAUGAAACAUAAUGUAUAAUAGCAAAUAUUGCCAUUUAAGGUUUUUCAAUCACACAGAUCCCCAUGUGAUCAAUGGUCCUUGUGAAGUGAUGGAGGGAAAAGAAAGCAAAUGGGAUUUGGUAAGACAUUGACAACAGUGAUGACUCGGAAUGAAAAGGAGAAGAUUUUCUCGGUGCGAAGAUGACCUCAAGGGGAAAAGGCAUUUAAAAAAAAAAAAAGAAUCACUUAUUCACAGGAUCUCGGUUACUUUAUCAUCAUAUGAGGACACGCAGAAGCUGCUUUUAGUGCUCACAGCGUGAGAGCCAAUACUCCCAGGAUGAUGUCAUCAGACUUAAAUCUUAGACUUGCUCCACUGACAAUAAAUUGAGAGGGGAUUUGUGGACAUGUGAUAGUGCCCAGAGGUUACACAAAGACAUGACUUAAUGCUCUCACAAAAACAUCCAGAGGAGUACACACUAUUUGUUCCACUUUAGUCAUGCUAAUUAACUUCCAUGAUCAUUAUAAACUUAUUAAAUUUUUUGGUUUGUGUGUCAUAU